rnacentral:rRNA from 1 species
CCUACGGGUGGCAGCAGUGAGGAAUAUUGGUCAAUGGCCGCAAGGCUGAACCAGCCAAGUCGCGUGCGGGAUGACGGUCCUAUGGGUUGUAAACCUCUUUUGUCCGGGAGCAAAAGGCGCCACGUGUGGCGUUUUGCGAGUACCUGAUGAAUAAGCAUCGGCUAACUCCGUGCCAGCAGCCGCGGUAAUACGGAGGAUGCGGGCGUUAUCCGGAUUUAUUGGGUUUAAAGGGUGCGCAGGCGGAAUGUCAAGUCAGCGGUAAAAUUUCGGGGCUCAACCCCGUCGUGCGGUGGAAACUGGCGUGCUUGAGUGAGCGAGAAGUAUGCGGAAUGCGUGGUGUAGCGGUGAAAUGCAUAGAUAUCACGCAGAACUCCGAUUGCGAAGGCAGCAUACCGGCGCUCAACUGACGCUGAUGCACGAAGGCGUGGGUAUCGAACAGGAUUAGAUACCCGUGUAGUC